UACGUAGGGCGCGAGCGUUGUCCGGAAUUAUUGGGCGUAAAGAGCUCGUAGGCGGCCUGUUGCGUCUGCUGUGAAAUCCCGGGGCUUAACCCCGGGCGUGCAGUGGAUACGGGCAGGCUGGAGGCAGGCAGGGGAGAAUGGAAUUCCCGGUGUAGCGGUGAAAUUCGUAGAUAUCGGGAGGAACACCGGUGGCGAAGGCGGCGACCUGGGUAGAUACUGACGCUGAGGCGCGAAAGCGUGGGGAGCAAACAGG
rnacentral:rRNA from 1 species